CCUACGGGAGGCAGCAGUAGGGAAUCUUCCACAAUGGACGCAAGUCUGAUGGAGCAACGCCGCGUGAGUGAAGAAGGUUUUCGGAUCGUAAAGCUCUGUUGCUGGUGAAGAAAGAUAGUGAGAGUAACUGCUCAUUAUUUGCCGGUAAUCAACCAGAAAGUCACGGCUAACUCCGUGCCAGCAGCCGCGGUAAUA
rnacentral:rRNA from 2 species